AGAACGAACGCUGGCGGCAGGCCUAACACAUGCAAGUCGAACGCCGUAGCAAUACGGAGUGGCAGACGGGUGAGUAACGCGUGGGAACAUACCCUUCGGUUCGGAAUAACUCAGGGAAACUUGAGCUAAUACCGGAUACGUCCGAGGUUUUAAUCGACCUUGGAGAAAGAUUUAUCGCCGGAGGAUUGGCCCGCGUCUGAUUAGCUUGUUGGUGAGGUAAUGGCUCACCAAGGCGACGAUCAGUAGCUGGUCUGAGAGGAUGAUCAGCCUCACUGGGACUGAGACACGGCCCAGACUCCUACGGGAGGCAGCAGUGGGGAAUAUUGGACAAUGGGCGCAAGCCUGAUCCAGCCAUGCCGCGUGGGUGAUGAAGGCCCUAGGGUUGUAAAGCCCUUUCGGCGGGGAAGAUAAUGACGGUACCCGCAGAAGAGCCCGGCUAACUUCGUGCCAGCAGCCGC
rnacentral:rRNA from 1 species